rnacentral:rRNA from 1 species
UACGGGGGGGGGUAAGCGUUGUUCGGAAUUACUGGGCGUAAAGGGCUCGUAGGCGGCCAACUAAGUCGGACGUGAAAUCCCUCAGCUUAACUGGGGGAACUGCGUCCGAUACUGGAUGGCUUGGAUUUGGGAGAGGGAUGCGGAAUUCCAGGUGUAGCGGUGAAAUGCGUAGAUAUCUGGAGGAACACCGGUGGCGAAGGCGGCAUCCUGGACCAAUAUUGACGCUGAGGAGCGAAAGCCCAGGGGAGCAAACGGGG